GGGAAGAACAGCACUUAGACAGGGGGAGGGCAUUACAGAACAGAGACCACUAUAAGCUCAGCUUAAGGCAACUAUAGGCUUACUGGUUAUGCUAGCAUGUCUGGAAACCUAAAGGGAAAGCUAUACUUUUAGUCCACAGAGCGGUGUGUAUACCAGUAAGAGAUGAUGGAGCAAGUUAGACAGCUACAAGCUAACUAACAAUUCUAGCACACAGAACAUGGGGACAAGAAUCUAAUAUGAAGGAUGUGCAAGUCUAAAAGUUAUCCAGCUCACAUUAUGUCAGUCUAGUGAUAGCAUUUUCAAAAACAUUGUCACUGUCCAAUAAAAAAAAGUAUCUAAAUUUCAGUCUCUUACACUGUUGUCAAAUUUUCUUGAUGAAUGUGCCAGCAUACAUUUUCCAAAAUUACUUGAAAUAAACUCAUUUUACAUUGACUUAUAUUGACAGUUUUUUUUCUCUCCUAUAAAGUGGUUAUUCUGGAGAUUCUUGUUUUUCAUUGGACAGCAACGACAUGUAUAAAGCCAGAAUACAUCAUACAAGGCGUUACAAUAUGGCUCUGUGGAGCAGAGAGAUCUGAACCUACAACCUACCUAUUGAGUAAUGCAAUGUGUGGGCUAGAGGGGUAUGAAGCAAUGAAACUGUUUUCUCUGGAAUGAUGGGAAACCUGGAUAAUGAAACCUGAAUAACCCUAUAUUUAAUGAGCCACCAGUAAUGCUAUAAUUAAUGUAUUUAUUUAUUUUAAGACCCCUGAUUUGGGAAGAAACAAUGAAAGAAACAAGUGUUCCAACACGUUUGUUCAUAUAGUGUCUACAGGCUCUACAGGCUAACUACUGAUGCUAAAACAUGCAUCAGCAGAUGGCUAGAAUGUCUAAAAUAAUAUAUAUGAUCCACAGUGUCCAGGUGCCAUCAUCCUACAGUAAUCCACCAGUUUUAUGUUUCCAAAAUAAGAUUUAGCUAGGCUACUUUACAUUAAGAAAUGAUCCUAACAUGUGGAGCAUGAUGGAUGCUAGCAUAUCCUGACCCACUGUUUUGUUCUUUUCAGCAGAGAUAACAGCUAUCUGAUGCUGCUAGCAUGUGUAAUGCAUAGCUUCUAACAUGACAAAAGCUAAGGCACCAGCAUUGCUUUGCUUUCCCAAAAUCUAAGUGUCCCAUGAGCCUCUGGCUUGUCUGUGCACAGUCGCGGAGCUCUGUGCCAUCUGCAAGAGUGCUACAGCGAGAGCGAAUCUCCGGCUCAUUCCAGCUCAUCACUCAGGGUUUUAAUUAAGGCAUGCUGAUGCCACCCUCGGCCAGCCGAAGACAAAGGAACUCUCUGCAGCAGCGGCAGCAGAGCAGGCAGAGACACGGCGCUAGCACUAACCCCGCCUGACCCCGGCCCUGAAGAUGAGUAAUGCGUUGCCGUGUCAGCGGGCCAAACGGACUCAAUCACUCCAGGAGCGAGAACCCGUCGCCUCUGCUGUCCGCAGCCCUGCUCUGGACAGGGUCCAGGUCUGCUGCUGCCCUGCUCUGGCUCCAGUGAAAACAGGAAUAUGUGAAUAAAUCUGUAAAAACAACAAGCGUUCGGUGCUACUUAUCGGCCUGACUGACUGCAGAUUUGACCUCAUCCUCUGUUUAACCACAACCAGCUCCAGCUCCUAGGAAACCAAGGUUCUUGUGGAUUUAGUGGGUGUUCCUGAAAAGUAAGUGUGUGUGUGUGUGCAAGUAAGUUUUGCUGUGUUUCACUGAACAGCCUGUGAAAAAUUGUGUCUUUCAAAAUGAAUAACAGAUUUUUGACAAAUAAUGUGAUUGUUUUGUGGGGGGAAAAAAUUGAUAUAAAGGUCAUAAAUAUAACCCUUUUGGGCAAUAAGAUAAAGUUGGGCAAAAAGCUUGCUUUAGCUUGAUGUCCAGUUUUAUUUAAAAGCAAAAUCUGACUUAUAUUUUCAUUGUUGUUUGGGUAUAUAUUUUAAAUACUGUUGCUAUCAUGCAAAUAUGUUCUCUCUCCAAACUAUUUAUUUAUUUAUUUUUACAAGAGAAGGAAAAAAAUAUUUUUCAAUGGAAGACAAGUAAAAAUAUUUAAAAAUAAACAAUGUAUAAUAAAUGGACCAAAAAGUUCCAAAAAUUACUUCCACUGUUUUUUUUUAACUUGUAAAAUCCACUUUUUAGAUUCAGGUGGUUGAAAUGAAUGGUCUAACAUGUCAUGGCAUUAAUAUUUUUUUAUUAGUAUCAAGCUAGUUUUACAAAACUAACAUAUAUAGUUCAAUUUGGCUUAUCCUGCAAUGUAACUAAUGACCAAAAAAAUCUGAUCAAGGGUCAUAAUUUAAUUAGGAGACACUACAUGACAGUAUGAUUGAUAAUAUGGUUAAUAUCCUGGGAGAUGUUUUCCUUCAGAUAACCUUCA